AACUUUGUUUCAGUCAUACAUCUUUUAUUGGUUUUAAGAAUUUAUGUUGUUUUCAAAAGAUCAUUUCCAUUUAUUUCCCUUUAAGGCACUCAUCAGAGCUCUCCGCUAGCUCUGGGAGUUUUCCACGCUAAGAGUUGUUAGCAAAUCAUGAGAUAGAGUGUAACUUCGUUUUUUAUUUUUCAUGUUCACAAGUUACAAAGAAAGGAUUUCAAACUGGAAGAAAGAGGAAAGCAAAACAAGGCUGUACAUAAAAUGUUGCCAAAGACUCGGAUGUGAAGCAGUUAAUUCAUAACUAGAAGGAAUGUCCAUGCUGUUUUUUGCCAUUCCUUUUUUUGCCAUAUAGUCAUCAUUCUAAAUUUUAUGCGUAGCAAAGUUCGGAGUUAGUGCCAUUGAAGAACUGAAAUAAUUUUGAAGAGAAAUGGCUGCUUUCACUAUUGCCACGAAUAUUUAUCUCUGGGAGGGGGGAUAAAUAUUCGUCAGAGCAAAUCACUGAGGAGUCCCUAAGUGUUACCCUCUUAUGGUUAGAGAUAUAUGUGAAUUCCACCCAGACGACCACAGUGGGUGCCACUUAACAUUCUAAGACUGGGGAGUUCCCAUCGUGGUGCAGCAGAAACAAAUCCGACUAGGAACCAUGAGGUUAUGAGUUUGAUCCCUGGCCUCGCUCAGUGGGUUAUGGAUCUAGCAUUGCUGUGGCUGUGGUGUAGGCCAGCAGCUACUGUUCUGACUCAACCCCUAGCCUGGGAACCUCCAUCAUGCUUAUUCAUUCUUUAAUUUACAAAGAAUUUAUCGAGUGUCUCCUACAUGUGAAGAAGGAUGCUAGGUGUUGGGGGUGAUGGCUGGGGGGCAGUCAUAGAUAAGUUAACAAUAAUUUACAUUUACUCAGUACUAAAUAUGUGCUGGGCACAGUUCUAAACACUUGUACACAUAUUAACUCAUUUAACCCUCACUAUGGUCCCAUGAGACAAGUGUGUUAUAUCAUAGUUUAUAGAAAAAGACACUGACACACAAAGGAGUUAACGUUCCCCAAAUCAUCCAGAUAAGAAACCUAGUUGCAGACACCACACCGACUGGUUCUCAGAUCAGUGACCAAGCAGCUGAGGCUCAAGCAUCUAGACCUUUGGACAGAAUGGGUCACAGAAAUCAUUUAACUUCUCUUUACAAUUGAGAAAAUCAGUUAAGUGACUCAUACAAAAAUCAUAAAGUUAUUAAGAAUGAUGAUUUUAAUGAUAAUAAACAUAUAGGAUAUAUCUAGAAAUAAAAAUUAAAGAAUUCGCAUUCUUCAGAGACUUAAGAGGGCACCAAAAUGAACAGAUCAGUCAAAUCCUGUAAAAGAGAAAGCAGCAUUUGCAAUUUAAAAAUAGGAAGAAGAUGAAGGAGGGUAAAAACCUUUAAGUCCAACGCUCUGCGCUUUGGAAAGAUAACAGGUAAGCAGACACUGCUGAAAGCCUUCGUCAUGAGGCAGUAGAUUAUAGAUCAAUUCAGUGGGUUAGGUUAGCUAAGGUUAGAUUACCUGGACCUAAACAAAAAGGAGAAACAUGAAAAUAGACAUUUAAAAAAGCUAUCUUUGCCCCUAGCUAACACUCCAUAAAAACAGCUUCUCUUCUUGUAUUUCCUAACUUGCAACAAACAACACCGUGAUCCACCCAAGUCACCAGAUUGGAAAGCUGGGAACCAAGCCUAUCUCUUGCUCAAACUCCCCACAGAACGCGGCAUCGUGUCCAACUGACUCUACCUCAAAAUUAGCUUUUGGAUCUGUUCCCACCUGGCCAUCCUCACUGCUAUUACCCUUCAAAAAGCUGGCAUCGUCUUCUACAAGCUCUCACCUGAACCAACACAAUUUGCCUCCUUGUCUCCAAUCUCACCGCACCGGUUCUCCCCCACAAGCCGCCAGACACUUUUACUAAAAUGCAGAAUUGAGGCAAUGCCCUUGCAGCACAGGGGAUUAAGGAUCCAGCAUUGUCACUGCAGCAGCUUCUCCGAUCCCUGGCCCUGGAACUUCCACACGGCUCAGGAGCAGCCAAAAAUAAAAUAAAAAUAAAAUCAGGAGUUCCCAUCGUGGCUCAGUGUUAAAGAACCCAACUAGUAUCCAUGAGGAUGCGGGUUCGAUCCCUGGCCUCACUCAGUGGGUUAAGGAUCCUGUGUUGCCGUGAGCUGUGGUGUAGGUCACAGACGUGGCUCAGAUCCCGCGUUGCUGUGGCUGUGCUAUAGGUGGGUAGCUGCAGCUCCGAUUUGACCCAUCGCCUGGGAACCUCCAUAUGCAGUGGGUGCAGCCCUAAAAACAACAACAACAACAACAAAAGACAAAAAUAAAAUAAAAUAAAAUACAGAUUUGACUAUGUUAAGUUUCCUGCUUUAAAGCUUUAGAGCACCCCUUCUCAGUCACAGAACAGAAACUGCACCUUCUUGCUAUCAGACCAGGUCCUAGAGAUCUGCCCAUCAUGCCUCCUUGUCUAGGUCCAGUCUUCUCCGGGUGCUUCAAACACAAUGAAAUCCCUACAGCCCCACGAUGCUCUCCCAUAGCUGUGUGCUGUUUCACCUCUUCUACCUACCUGCAGUGAGAAUCCUUCCUCUGAUCAGUGCAGUUAACUUAUCUUUUCCAAUUUCAAUACAGACUCUUCCUUUCUAACGCCUUCUGUGACACUCCUAGGAAUACUGCCUUCUCCUCCACGCUCCCCGAGGUACUGACAACAUUUCUUAAAACUGGCUGUUUGCAUAUCUUGCCUUCCAGGGCACAAAGAACCCUCCCAGAUGUACAUGUUCCAGGAGGAGGGCCUAGAAUACCGUUGGCCUAGAAAUGUCACCUGCACGCUGUCGCCUCCAAUACACUGCUAGACCCCGAAGAAAGAGGCAGAGUGUGUGUCACGAGCUUGUUACACAGAUGAGUAAUCGGGGGCUCAGAAGGGUAAAGUCACUUGAGAGUAAAAGCAAGAUGAGUAACAAGUACUCUUUCCAUGAAACCACGCUGCCCGCCCAACUGUUCAAAGCACAAACAGCCGCACCAAGAUCCCACACAUGAACCUCACUAACCAACUGAACAGGGACACGCAGAUUAGUUAACUGGUGCAGAAUCAGGCGUUAACGUGCAAACAAACAGGGACUUAUUUGAGCUAAGUGGGCAUGAAUAUGCAAAUCAACUGGCUGCAGUUCCGUGGAUGUCAUCACAAUUCUAGGAAAUGAACAUCCUAUCUUAUGACUACUGUAAGAUUUGUGUAAGAUUCAUACAUACUAGCCUGCAUUACUGUAAUAUGGGCUCUUUGAGUUUAAUAUUGUAGGGUGAAGCCAAAAGUUACUUGACGUAUAUUUUCCUUUUUUUCUAAAUUAAUGUUGUUUUUUUUUCCAUUAUAGCUGGUUUACAGUGUUCUGCCAAUUUUCUGCUGAACAGCAAGGUGACCCAGUCACCCAUACACAUUUCUUUUUCUCACAUUUUCCUGCUCCAUCAUAAGUGACUAGAUACAGUUCCCAGUGCUAUACAGCAGGAUCUCACUGCUUAACCAUUCUUGAUAACUCUGCCAUCUCCAAGCUGCCUAAGGUGAACAAGGUACUUUGGGAUGAGGUUAGGCUGGUCCUUCAUGAUCCAGGCGCUGCCGAUUUCUCCAGCCAAAGCUGCCAUGCUGAGUCUGAUACAGUACACAACAAUGGUUGUUUAGAAGUUAUUCUUCCUAUAGGACUUGCAGUGAUAAAGUGGCAGGACUAUACCACUCGAACAACACUCAGAAAAACCGGUAAGUGAUCACAUUUAGCUCUUGUUCUAGUACACUCAUGACGUUGACAUUCCUGUCAUCACCGACACACCACUUGUGUUACAAUGAACCAGAGCCAAAGCCAUUCACAACAGCUGUGAGGUUCUCUCCAUCAUCUCUGGUUCCCAGAAGUAACAAAUUAUAACCAGGAGAGGUCUGUCUACAUCAACUGCUCUCCUUAAUUCACAAAGAAGAAAAAAAAAGUUGUAUCUAAUUCAUGUUAGGAAACAAGAAAGGCCUAUACUCUCACGUCCAUGCAUUUAUCCUCCAAGCCCACUGCCUGAAAUGCCCACCCCUCUUUAUCCACAAAGCUUUUCUUCAACCUUUUUAAGCAGCUUGACCAUUAAAUACUUAUACAAGCCUUCCUGCCUUUCCCAGAACCUGUGUGCACAUCUCAGCUACAUAUAUACGUGCAAAUCCAACAUGGAGCACAUCACAGUCCUGUGAUCACUUAUUUAUAUGUCAAAUUAAUGAGAAUAUAUGUAGGGCUGCAAGUAAUAGAGAAUCCAAAUACUAGUGACUUAAACAAAAGUUUAUUCCUCUCUCACAGACAAGUCUGGGUGGCUCCAGUCAUCAGAGUGUGACUCUGCACAGUACUCAACACCCAAGCUCCUUGUAAACCAUUGCUGUCCCAUCCCUAAGGUGACUCCCCACAACACUUCACUCAUAGUAUGUGUGUGUGUGUGUGUGUGUGUGUGUGAACAUCUUCACACAGCACACAGGCUUUGAGAGCCCGGCCCUUCCCUUUAAAUAGAAGACCUGAAGUUACGUCCAUCACUUUCACUCACAUCCUAUUGGUUAGAAUUCUGUCCAUGGCUGGUUGCAAGGAAAGCCUAGAAAUGUUUGUAUUUUGGGUGGCCAAGUAUCCAGCUAAAAAUGCUCGAAGACAAGUGCCCAUCUCUGUGACACAUUCACGGUUUCUCUCUGCUCUUUUGCCUUUCGCAGGCAAAACUCCAAACCUGAUCCUGUUCGUUACUGUAUCCUAAGAGCUUAGGGAAGUGUCCAGUUCGAACAAAUACAACUAAGUCUAUACUGAUUCCAUAAAUACCUAGGAGGUCCUAGAAAACACAGGAAACAGAGUAGAAUAGCUGCUGACCUCCCUUACUGCUAGGUUCUGACACCCAGAUGGAAGAAGAGGAACAGGAAGGCACAGGCCAGGGGAAGGGAGCCCUCCUGACCCCGAAAGUUGUUCUUCUCAUCAGCUCCUUAAGGUACGGUAUUAGUUCAGUAAUAACGCAGAGCGUUGGCAGGGACGUGGAGUUCCAGUGGAAGGGUGCAAGCCCAAGAACCAAUCCAGCUGUCACAGAAAACUCCAAAUCUGGUUUAGACUUGAAGAUGGCAGCAUUACACUACAUCCAUGGCUUUAUCUCUGGUGACAUAGAGGCCUUUUAAAAAAAUUUUGUAUUUCUACUUUUUAUGAAAUGUUUUAUACAUACACAUGGAUGUACAUGACAUUUAUAAGGUUCUAAAAAUACCAAAACAAGCAACAGCAUUUCUAUCACUUAGCUUAAGAAACAGAAGACUACUACUACCCGUCAAGCCCCAUGCGCUCCUCUCUUUGAUUAAAUCCUCCUCCAGAGGUGAUCUCAGAGUGUCAUGCCCCCAUCUUACCUUCCUCACAUUUUUGUCACAUAAAGAUGUAUGUGUAAAGAAAAUAUUAUUCGGUUCUGCUUUGGAUCUCCAUAGAGAUGAAAUUAGACUCUCUCUAUAUACACACACACACAUACUCCUAUGUGAUGGCUUUUGAGAUUCAACCAAGUUAAUGUCUAGCAGAGCUCAUUCAUUUUUACUGCUAUGGAGUAUUCCACCACGUGGAAUUGUGGCUAUACCAGGAUUCAGAAUUCCUUUCUCCUGUCUAAGGCAUUUGAGUUGUUUCCAGUUUUCUGUUAUUCAAACAAUGCUGCUGUGAACCUACACGUGCAAAGGUUUUGCCUUUCGCAUUUGGGUUCUCAACCCAGCAAAA
rnacentral:lncRNA from 1 species